rnacentral:rRNA from 1 species
UACGUAGGGGGCAAGCGUUGUCCGGAUUUAUUGGGCGUAAAGAGCGUGUAGGCGGCUUGGUAGGUCUUGCGUCAAAACCUGAGGCUCAACCUCAGUUCGCGUGGGAAACCACCUAGCUAGAGUCCGGAAGAGGAGAACGGAAUUCCCAGUGUAGCGGUGAAAUGCGCAGAUAUCGGGAAGAACACCCGUGGCGAAGGCGGUUCUCUGGGACGGUACUGACGCUGAGACGCGAAAGCGUGGGGAGCGAACAGG